GGAGGCGGAGCGGGCGCCAGAGGGUGGUGGGCGGCGGCGGAGCUCCAUGUUCUUCAUCCUUUCCAGUAGCCGUCAUCUUCGAUCCAGCAAGAGGAGCCGGGGGAGGAGAGAGGGCGCUAGGGAAGAAGAAACGGAGGAAGCGAGACGUCCACGUUGGCGCCACGGUGGCAACGACAGGGUGGACCCACUUGUCAGGUUUUCAAUCAAAACGCGCUUAUGUCGCAAAUUAGUGCACGGGAGUACAGUUGUCCACAAAAGUGAUGGUAAUUUAAAAAAUAAAUAAAAAAAAGUGGUUUUCCUAAACAUGUGCCCCA
rnacentral:lncRNA from 1 species